CUUUCCUCCUCGACUUACAGUACAUUAUUAAUCCAUGUUCCAAAUUGAUCCUGCAGCCAGGUAUACAGUAGACCAUAUUUAUAUGAACCAUUUUCUUUAGCACCUUGCCUUUCAUUAAUUAAUUAUUAACAUGCACCAUCCAAGCCUUUCAUUCCCCACAGAUUCCAAGCGUAUCUCACAAUGUGACAACAGAUUCUCAAAAGACAGUCUCCUCGUUGUCAUCGUCGCCAUCAUACAGUUUCCAGCCCCCGUCUUCUACGCCACCUCGUUCACCUCGCUCACCUCACUAGGUUACUUCGCUUUGCCGCAUCUACCCUGGACCCUCCCCUGAUCCCACCUCGUCCUUUACCGACCCUCCACCAUUGGCUGUACCCCGCAUCUCCCUUGUCACACUUUACCCACAAAGUUUCUUUACUCUCUUUGGCCCAUAGCGCUCGAUGACAAGGGAACAAGCUCAACCCUUGUCCUCUGGCGACCCCUUUGCACCGGUAUAAAAACAUUCCUUCGGGAACAUAAAGGAUUCCUGGUGUCAAAUAAAAGGUGCGGAUGAUCAAUUCCUUGAAUGGAAACGAGAAGUAUACUUGGCUCCUUACGACGUCCCUACUAAGGACCAGGCCGAAGACAUCCCUGGAUAUCUCCGUGAUACGUCAUUCUUAAGGACUGUGAAGUGAACUCCCUUGGAUGGGAGUUAGUAUAAUUCAGAUGGCAGGAGGCAGUUCAUGGCUUAAGGGAGGAGCAGUCCCGUAGGAGGGUCCAGGGAGAAAAAUGAUUUCAACCAUAACGACCCCUUCUCUUUCUUAGGGAAUGAAGAGGUUGAAUGCAGAGUGCUCCUCUGGGUCGGACGUGGUCGGACGCCUCCAGGUUCGGUUUGCCAACUAGGUUCGAAUGGAUUCGAAUGGGUUUGGGACUUUAGGAAAGCUAUAUAUAUAUAUAUAUAUAUAUAUAUAUAUAUAUAUAUAUACACACAUUUAUUUUCCCCAAGGAAUACUCAAGGUCCUUAAUUGCUGAGACUCCGGGCUGCAUUGUUGCAUGCAAAUUGCAAGCUGUACGAAGCCGUCGACGGGAAAGCGUUUCUACGCCUGAGAGAAUCUGGCUGCAGUUGGCCGCUUCCUUUAAUCGAGACAAAUUACUAGAACCAUGGAACGUGAGCCGUGAUCGAACGAGUCGGGGUUAACGGGGUCAUGGAUCACGGAUAAGGAAGAUGGCAAUAUAACUCUGAGUUAAUCCACGAAGUAUGCUGUUAUAGACCGGUAUAUCAGUUAUAGUAGUAUAAGUCAUUUUUGAACCGAAGUUCGAUAACGUAGCAGGAACGAUAAUUAUAUUGAAUCGUCAUCAAUGAAAUAUAGAUAACACAGGUAACAGGGCAAACGAAAAAUUAAAUCGUGAUUGUUAUACUUUCCAUGGUCAUACUUUUGGCCAAUGCAUAAAUGAGAGUAUAAAAUUUUAAAUGCCUCCCAAGUGAGCUUUACGCCAGGGCAGGAUUAAUUUGUGCGUACACCAUCGAUUAUAAAUUCGCAUCGAAACUGUAUUCGGCAGUCAUUAUUGCCUGGCUGUCAAAUAUAUUAUAAAUGUUUAUGCUUCAUCAA